CUUUAAAAUGCAGCUAACUUCUGAAAAGCUACCUUGUACAAAUGACACCUUCUUUUUCAGCAGAUCCUUUAGUUCUGUCUCUGCAUGAUGUAUCCAAGAGUAAAAGCUGGCCUGCAGAAUCUAUAUUACUGGCAAUGAAGUUGAGCUAGAAAAAGCUGACUUUACUCACCUCUGUAAAGGAAUCCAUUAUCGAUGGGCAUUUUUCACACCAAGCGGCCAAUCUUUGGAUGAGAUAGCAAAACUGGUUGAAUCAGGAAAGGCAAUCCAUAGUAGAAAAAUUAAGGACUGAAGAUGACAGAGCCUGGGUGAUCUCUUCACAACAGACUUGAAGCACAAUGCAUGAGAAGCUGGCAGCACUGCACCCGUGCAGAGGAGCUUCACUAUAAACAUGUAAACAGGGAACUUUGCAGAUAGUUUCACUAAAUCAGAUUUACCUGAAGAAAAUUUAUUUGUGAAGUACAUGUAACAUACUGUGGAUACAAUAAAAAGGCACAGAAAAAUUUGCCAGAAUUACCACCUUGGAACCAGAAGUAACACUCUUUAGAAAGGAAUAAAAGCAGGUUACAACUGUACAAUUUUUAAAGAGUAAGACAUAUUUGAAUAUUGAUUAUUGCAGUUGUCUGUACAGCAAGUGAAAAAACACCACCACAGACUUAAAAUUAGAUUGAAGGCACUGACUUUCCCAUAGGUAAUGAUAAAAAAUAAAGCACCCGUAUCCUGCGAGGCGACAAACAGUAAAGAAGAAAGUUACAUUUACUAUGCAAGACAACGUCUAACAAGUGCCCCCUGAGGCUGCUAGGAGUAGUUUGUAAUAACACUGGUCUAGGCAAGAAUGAAAUACAGCAGCGUGGUACAAGAGUUUACAUUCACUGUUCUGCCAGUGACAUAAAAUAAAACCACAAUUUUAACAUUGGGCCAAGGGAGACAGUAAACCAUUAAUGCACAAGAACAACCUGCUACAAGUUAUUUCAUAUGCCUCUCUUGAAACAAGCUCUUUGCUCAGGUGUGGUUCCUAUUCUAAAGUAUGCAUGGAACUUACAACUUGCUUGACUUGUAAUGUAUCUAAGUUCUUAUAUGGCACUUAUUGUGGUAUGAAUGUCUCCCAAGUUUUCUUCCCUACCUCAACAAUGAGCUUUUGUCCUAGACUCCAAUGCAUUGCUGCACUAGAGUUGCUGUAACAGCCUACCACCAUUGACCUUGCCCUCCUCAACUUCACCUAAGAUGUUUGGAGCAUACCAAGAUCAUAGUGGGAUAGAAUGUAAUUAACUACAGCUGGUGGCAGACAGUAGCUGGGACGAUGUCUGGAGAGAUUUGGAACUACUGUGAUUAGUGAUGCUUUUUAAAAAUAAAGGAGAGACAUAUUUUAAAUUAAAUUUGAGAGCAGUAAUGACUGCACUUAAUGGAGCUACCUCUAGGUUUGAAGUAUUUGCCCCAAGCAGAGAAGUAGAUAAUACUUUUUACGAAUUAAAACUAAGGCAGCUUUUUAAAGUAGAAGCAGAUAGGAAAUGGGCACACCCUUCUUGCUGCCCAAUACUUUUGCUAACAAACAUAUAUAGACUUAUACGCUCCGUCUUUCUAAUAGAAAAACUAGAAAAUAGACUGCUUAAUAAAAUACAGGCUUUAAAAUGUCAACUUUCUAUAAUACAUCUGCUCAUAUUCUGUAGUCAUUUUUUGGUAAAAAUUCCCCUAAACAAGUUUCAAUAGACUGAAGUUCUUUUUUGUACUAAUGCAUUAUUUACAUGUUAAUUUUCAGGAGAUGACUACUCCAAUACAUUACUACAAAGCUUAAUCUAUUUUGCAUAACCUUCCCCUUCCAUAUAUGUUGCACUUCAAUCUUUUGUGGGAUAAGUUUUAUCUAAUUAUCUCUCAGUAUAAUAGUUUAUACUUUUUUCCUGAUAAAAACAUCUGUAGAAAUCAUUUAAAAUCACACUAAUAUAUUCUGGAUUAGCAAUUAAUCACUGACAUGAAAUUGCUGCUUGGGAGGGAGACUUUAACAUUUAAAAAAAUUAAUAAAAAAUAAACAGCAGGGAGCAGUUACAAAAAUUGGUCAAUAUAGUUGUAUAGGUUAACAUCCAGUAAAACACACAAACAUUGAAUUAGUGCUUAGAGCUGAAUCUAUUCUGUCACUUGUGCUUACGAUUAUUGUGAAGGCAGGACAGAGAUCAUCUCUCUUCUUCAAAGACGGCCACGUUAGUUGGAUUGUCCAGAA